rnacentral:rRNA from 1 species
GACGAACGCUGGCGGCGUGCCUAAUACAUGCAAGUCGAGCGAAUGAUUAGAGAAGCUUGCUUCUCUCUGAUUUAGCGGCGGACGGGUGAGUAACACGUGGGUAACCUACCCUAUAGACUGGGAUAACUUCGGGAAACCGGAGCUAAUACCGGAUAAUACUUUUGAACUCAUGUUCGAUUGUUGAAAGAUGGUUUCGGCUAUCACUAUAGGAUGGACCCGCGGCGCAUUAGCUAGUUGGUGAGGUAACGGCUCACCAAGGCAACGAUGCGUAGCCGACCUGAGAGGGUGAUCGGCCACACUGGGACUGAGACACGGCCCAGACUCCUACGGGUGGCAG